rnacentral:rRNA from 1 species
GACGAACGCUGGCGGCGUGCUUAACACAUGCAAGUCGAACGGAAAGGCUCCAGCUUGCUGGAGUACUCGAGUGGCGAACGGGUGAGUAACACGUGGGUAAUCUGCCCUGCACUCUGGGAUAAGCCUGGGAAACUGGGUCUAAUACUGGAUAUGACCUUUCUCCUUAUGGGGUUUGGUGGAAAGUUUUUCGGUGUAGGAUGAGCCCGCGGCCUAUCAGCUUGUUGGUGGGGUGAUGGCCUACCAAGGCGACGACGGGUAGCCGGCCUGAGAGGGGGAACGGCCUCCAUGGGCCUAAGGUAGGGCCCAGACUCGAACGGUGGGCAGUGGGGGGGAGUAUGGCACAGUGGGCGGAAGCCUGAGACGGCGGCGCCCGGUUAGGAAAGACGUCUUUCGGGUUAAAAACCUCUUUCAGCAGAGACGAAGCGUAAGUGACGGUACCUGCAGAAGAAGCACCGGCUAACUAUGUG